rnacentral:tRNA from 1 species
GAAACUUAGGUUAUACCAAACCCAGGACCUUCAAAGUCCUAAAAAAGAAUACUCUCUUAGUUUCUG